rnacentral:rRNA from 1 species
UUAUACAAUGGAGAGUUUGAUCCUGGCUCAGGAUGAACGCUAGCGGCAGGCCUAAUACAU